rnacentral:rRNA from 1 species
GACGAACGCUGGCGGCGUGCCUAACACAUGCAAGUAGAACGCAGUUGCGAACGGGCGAGUAACGCGUAGGUAACUUCCUGGUAGCGGGGGAUAACCAUUGGAAACGAACGCUAAUACCGCAUACUUCCAGAUGGACCUGCUUUGUAUUAGCUAGUUGGUGGGGUAACGGCUCACCAAGGCAACGAUAAAUAGCCGAGCUGAGAGGGGGAUCGGCCACACUGGGACUGAGACACGGCCCAGACUCCUACGGGAGGCAGCAGUAGGGAAUCUUCGGCAAUGGACGGAAGUCUGACCGAGCAACGCCGCGUGAGUGAAGAAGGCUUUCGGGUCGUAAAGCUCUGUUGUGCGAGACGCGGUAUCGUACUAGAAAGGGACGGCUAACUACGUGCCAGCAGCCGCGGUAAUUC